UACGUAGGAGACGAGCGUUGUCCGGAGUUACUGGGCGUAAAGGGCGCGUAGGCGGCCUUCUAAGUCGAACGUGAAAUCCCCGGGCUCAACCCGGGAACUGCGUCCGAUACUGGAAGGCUUGAAUCCGGGAGAGGGAUGCGGAAUUCCAGGUGUAGCGGUGAAAUGCGUAGAUAUCUGGAGGAACACCGGUGGCGAAGGCGGCAUCCUGGACCGGCAUUGACGCUGAGGCGCGAAAGCCAGGGGAGCAAACGGG
rnacentral:rRNA from 1 species